rnacentral:rRNA from 1 species
UGGUGGAGUGAUUUGUCUGGUUAAUUCCGUUAACGAACGAGACCUUAACCUGCUAAAUAUGCCGCGCUAACUCGUCCAUCAAAACCUAUGUGUGACUCACGCGGUUCGCUGCACACUAAUGUUGCCCGUUAAACGGUGAUGUUAGGGUGCCGGCAGGGCCCGGGUUCAUAUAGGCGGUAGGGUUCGGCGUCUGUGCUUCUUAGAGGGACUGCUGCGCGCCUAGCCAGCGGAAGUUUGAGGCAAUAACA